AAAUAACGUUAUUGUUUAACUUCAGCCCCUUUGGUAGAAAACAAACCCUAAGCACUCUCUUCACCCUCUUCUAGUUCUCUCCGAUCUUCAACGUUCGGCCCCUCCCCUCCGAUCGAAGACGCCGGCGACUGUAACUCAGAUCAGACCAGCCGCACUCGCCCUCCGUUUUGGUCUCGGUUUAAAGAACUGCUGCCACCGACCGUGUUUUUGUUGUAUUGACAACCACUCUUAUGCUCUCCCUGCCUUCGAUGAUGGUCCAGUCGAUGCUUCCGGUUCUGCUUGCUACGAUGAAGAUCCUAACUCAAUAUUUGCCGAUGCUUCUAAGGAUUAUGAUGAGGAAGAGAAUGGAGGUUUUGGGUCAUCUAUGCAAUCUCGUGGGGAAGUUGGUGGAAUGUCGUCACCGGAAAAUGUUAGAAGAGAGAUUUUGGAGCUUGAGUUCCCUGAAGAUGGUUACAAUUAUUUAAUUUUCUGUAUCUUCGGGAGAUUAAGAAUACUGUUGGUGGUUCGACAUUUUAUCAGAACCCCAAGGCCAAGCUGAAACAUGUUCUACGGGAUGAGAAGAUCUACCAUACUUGGAAAAAGCAAGAGGAAACAAGGGAAGGCGCUUGUUGGUUAGUUAAAGUAGUUCCAAAUACUUCUAUGACGCACCUUCCUUCAGGGAUACAAUGGCUCCAAGGCAAGAUCGAAAUCAAUGGUUAUGAUGUAAAUGGUGCAGAGUACUGAUCUGUUGGAUGUAAUGAGAAAUAUAGCAUCAUUGAGAGCUUUCUCUUUGCUAGGGAUGUAAAACUAAGGUUGGCUUGAGGAAACAUAAUGUGCUCCAUCCUAAAAGAACAGAAAGGUUGGUGGAAAAGGUUCUCGAAAACAGAAGAAAAACCUGCUCUAUACUUGAAGGUUGGCUGGACCAAAUAGUGUGGUGAGGAUGAGUCAGACUGUAAGUUCCUAUUUGUUUCACAGAUGCUCUCAAACACCUUAGGAAAUGUAGAUAGAAUAUACAAAAAAGGGAGAACCUCAGUUCUAAAGGAAGUUACAUUAAAACUCUCCGAUGGCAUAAAAGUUUGUUAGACUAUAAUUUGUGAAAUCCCAGAAGAAGCCUAACAGAUUCUCCAUUUCUUCCUUGAAAGCAUGGGCCAAUAAUUGAUAGGAAAACAUCCAUAUUGAGCUUCUCCUUUUUGUAUUCAACAAUCUGAGUUUUCCAACUUUACAUUUAUCUACUUGAAUUUUCUAACCUUCCAUGGCAAAUAUCCUGCCUUGAAAAUAUUUUAAAUGCCCUUGAAAUAAUUUUAUUAUAUUGGUUUAUGAUGGAAGUGGAUAAGUAUCAGUAGGUAAAUAGGGAAAAUAUUGUUAGGAAUUGUAGCAAUGACAAUGUGGCGUAUUUAUAAUCACUUACAUGUUGGUUUGUGUUGAAAUUUAUGAAAAGAUGAAGUUCGGUUUGGCUAGGCAGAAUUUUGAAGAUUAGUUCUGGUGGAGAGAGAUAGCUCUCUUUAAACACUAGACUAGUAUACUUUUUCAGUUUUUCUUUUUUAUUAUCAUACAAUUCCCGUAUUUAAUUUUCUUAUCCCCACCCCUAAGAUUGGGAUCCUUAGCUUCUGUUUACUUAAAUAUGAAACUGUCAUCCAUGGAAUAGGCUAUGCUAUUUGUCAAGUUUAACUAACCGCUUGUAGCUUCAAAGUUCUUUGAAGUAGAACUUGAUCUUGCAUUGUGUAAUUCUAACACUCGAGUUCUAGCAAUAUAACUGAUUUUUCAGCCGCUUUGACUUCUGAUGACGAACUUGAAGUAUGUUGCUUCCAUUUACUUCCCUUUUGCUCUAGUUAGCCGAGCAUUUAAGUUGCUUAAACAAGCUACGUAAAUAAUUUUCUACAGUAGAUGGGCCAAGAUGAUGGAAGCGGGAAGGAUGGAGGAAUGCUUUACUUGACAGACCUGCCAUACUUGGAAAAAGAAAGAGGAAAAUAGGAAAGGCCGCUGUAAAUAGCUAACAACUUGAAGGUGAGGUUUGCAUAAUAAUAUCCUAGAAUAAUUAGAUUGCUUUCUUGUUUGAGUUUUGUAUCAAGUCUGAUUGGUGCCGAUAAAGUUGGCCGACUUUGCUGCUUCAUUGUUCAUCAUUUUUCUCUUUCGUUUUGUCAUAUAUUCUUGAACCUUCCCUUACAUUUUGACUUUGAAAUGGUGGUGUCUUUAUUUUCCGCCAUUGUGUUUGCCCGCAGCAUUUCAUAACCAAUAUUGGUUAGAUGUUAGCAGUAGAGAGUGUAUAUAUAUAUAAUCAAGUGAUGCUCUUAGAGUUGUAUCACUUCUAACUCCUAAAUAAUGUUUUAUAUCAAA